AUAAGAGUUGGUUUUUCAUCAAUUCAUUACUUACUCAGUUAGGUCUUUCUUUCUGAAGAUGUUGAAAUUGAUGAAAUCAAUUGGUAUAUUAUAAACUUACAAUGCAUAACUCUACAUUGUCUUGAAGUCCAUUCUCGUUACAAUGCCAUAAACAGUUGCAUUAUUUCUGUGAAUUUUGAGGUACUCUCUUACUCUGUCUUAUCAGUUUCUAUAUGACAAAUAACAA
rnacentral:misc_RNA from 1 species